rnacentral:tRNA from 1 species
GGAGAGUUGUCCGAGUUGGCCGAAGGAGCACGCCUGGAAAGUGUGUAGGCGCCACAAGCGUCUCGAGGGUUCUCGAAUCCCUCACUCUCCG